CCUGAUCCUUUGCCUCAGAUCCCCAAGUGCUUGGAUUGCAGAUGUAUGCCAUCAAUCCUGGAGUCAGCAUUUGUAUUUUCAUGUAUUAGUGACAUCACGGCUCACCUCCAAGUCUCUGCAGCAUGAAUUUCGUUUUACUAAGCCAGUAGGACUGUAAGUCAAGCACAACUUAUUCAUAAAAUCCAGCAGCUUCUACAAAAAUG